AUGCUAUGUGUUGAUGAUUUGGUACAUGUGUUGAAGCAGGAAGAAGAUCAUGUCCCCAUGACUGAGGAAGAAGAAUAUGAUGGAGGUAGCACAAGUGAGGAUGAGAUCAUAUCCAUGUGCCGCAACAAUUUGGUGCAGUCCGAGAAUUUAAUCUUGAAGUUGGUUCUUAUCUUGGGUAUGUACUCUGAUAACUACUUUGUGAAACUACCUAGGAGGGUCAGUGGAUAUUCUGGUUUGGAUUGGGUGCAGGAGACACUAGCCCGAGAUACCCAAUGCUAUAACAUGUUUAGGGUUGAGAGACCUUUGUUUAAUAGGCUACAUAAUACUUUGGUGCAAUCAUAUGGCUUGAAGUCCACUACAAAAAUGACAUCUGUAGAGGCUCUAGCUAUGUUUUUAUGGAUUGUUGGAUCACCACAGUCAGUUAGACAGGCUGAGAACCGUUUCAGAAGGUCUAUGGAGACAGUAAGUAGGACAUUUAAUAGAGUUUUGGCAUGCCUCCUCAGGUUAGCACAUGACAUAAUUAUACCUAAGGAUCCAACAUUUUCAGAGGUGCACCCAAACUUAGAAAAUCCAUUAUUCUGGCCACACUUCAAUGACUGCAUAGGAGCUAUAGAUGGGACACAUGUGAAUGUUGUGGUGGAUAAGAGUAAGAGGGUUCCAUACUUGAACAGGCACAAUGAAACCAGUCAGAAUGUGCUUGCUGUUUGUGAUUUCGACAUGAGAUUUACAUUUGUGAUGUCGGGAUGGCCUGGUUCAGCACAUGACAUGAGAGUUUUCAAAGAUGCCGUAACUACUCAUCAAGACAAAUUUCCACAUCUACCACCAGGGAAGUAUUAUGUGGUUGAUGCGGGAUACCCAAACCGGCCAGGCUACCUUUCACCAUACAGAUGUACAAGGUACCAUGUGCAACAAUGGCAAAAUGGCCCGCCGCCACAAGGUAUGAAAGAAACCUUCAACCAUGCACAUGCAAAGUUAGGAAUGUCGUUGAGCGAUCCUUUAGAGUGUUGA
rnacentral:rRNA from 1 species